AAGUCGUAACAAGGUUUCCGUAGGUGAACCUGCGGAAGGAUCAUUAGUGAAACUUCAAAGUCGGCUUGUCAUACUGUGCUGGUGGAGACACAUGUGCACGUUACAAGUCGCAAAUCCACACACCUGUGCAUCUUAUGACUCUGAGUGCCGCUUUGCGUGGCCUUGACCGGCCUGGCGCUCGAGUACCUUUCACACACUCUUGAAUGUAACGGAAUGUCUAUUGUGCGUAAUGUACAAAUGAAACAACUUUCAACAACGGAUCUCUUGGCUCUCGCAUCGAUGAAGAACGCAGCGAAAUGCGAUAAGUAAUGUGAAUUGCAGAAUUCAGUGAAUCAUCGAAUCUUUGAACGCACCUUGCACCCUUUGGUAUUCCGAAGGGUACACCCGUUUGAGUGUCAUUGUAAUCUCACUACGAUCGACUUUUACGGUCUUUUCGUAUGUGGACUUGGAUGCUGCCGUGGAUAUCCUACGGCUCGUCUGAAAUGCCUGAGUGUACCCCGCUUUGCGGCGUAUUCGGUGUGAUACAUCUUCACCGGAGUUGAUCCGAAAGGAUCGCGUCUGUAANGGUGUGGCUCUAUGCUUUCCAACCGUCUUGACAGGACAAUCUCUGACAUUUGACCUCAAAUCGGGUGGGACUACCCGCUGAACUUAAGCAUAUCAUAAGCGGAGGAAAGAAACUACNAGGAUUCCCCUAGUAACGGCGAGUGAAGAGGGAAAGCUCAAAUUUUGAAUCUGGUGUCUUUGACUCCCGAGUUGUAAUCUAGAGAAGUGUUUUCCGUGUCGGACCGUGCACAAGUUCCCUGGAACGGGGCGUCAUAGAGGGUGAGAAUCCCGUAUAUGGCACGGACUGCCGAUGCUUUGUGAUACACUCUCAACGAGUCGAGUUGUUUGGGAAUGCAGCUCUAAAUGGGUGGUAAAUUCCAUCUAAAGCUAAAUAUUGGCGAGAGACCGAUAGCGAACAAGUACCGUGAGGGAAAGAUGAAAAGCACUUUGGAAAGAGAGUGAAACAGUACGUGAAAUUGUUGAAAGGGAAGCGUUUGAAGUCAGUCAUGUCUGUCGGGAUUCAGCCUGGCUUUUGCCUGGUGUACUUUCCGUCCGACGGGUCAGCAUCAAUUUCGACCGAGGGAAAAAGACGUGAGGAAUGUGGCUGUCUUCGGGCAGUGUUAUAGACUCGCGUUGUAUGCCUCGGUUGGGAUUGAGGAACGCAGCGCGCCUAUAGGCCAGGGGCUACACGCCUCUUGACACGCGCUUAGGAUGCUGGCAUAAUGGCUUUAAGCGACCCGUCUUGAAACACGGACC
rnacentral:rRNA from 1 species